UCCAGGCUCACAUCUGCUAGCUCAGGAACCCAGGAGGAAGAACUUCUUUUCCCAGGGUCCCUCACCUUGAGCCUCAUUGGUCCAAGUGAGACAUACAUGGUAUCUCUAAACCGAUCUCUGUCCAGGGGAAAACUUGGCAAAUGAAGAAACUGAGGCUCCGAGAGGUCAAUGGUAGCCAAGGUCAUACAGCUAGUAGGUAAUAGAGCAGGAUUUAAAUACAGGCAUCUGGUUUCAGAAUCUGUGUUCUCAGCCAUGAUGCUAUGAAGUUUCCCAGAGAACUCCCAGGAGCUUUAAAAACAGCAGUAAUGACGAGGCUGCUAAUGACCAUGAUCGUGACUCUCACUUCCCAACAACUCUACCUGUGCUGUUUUGAUCGCCAUUCAAGUGCAUCACAGAGAGGUGAAGUGACUUGCUCACGGUCACACAGCAACCCCACGAAAGGGACUAUCAGCAACCUCACAAGGAAACUGAGGCCCAGAGUGGUUAUAUGACUCGCCCCCUGUUGCACAGCAUUGUAUGGCCUCCGAGCUUCAGCCUGCACAGGGGUCCUGUCUCCCGUACCAGCCAGGCCACGGGGCCCAAGCUCCGUCUCUUGACACCAUGGGAAGCGAGUCCCUCUCCUCCACAGGGUCUCUGGGAAAGCUGGAUAUGGACGCAGACUCAACUCGCCCCGGUUUCCAGCUCAGCACUGCAACCUUGACGUCCUCACCAGCUUCUGUCCUUCUAGACGGCUCAGGAAUGCUUCUGGCUGCAGGUAAGAUGUCCCAAGGCCAGCAGUAGCUCAAGCAAAUCCAAGUCAGCUUCCCCACAGAACAAGUCUGGGGUCACUGAUCCCACGAUGACCUGUCUGCACCUCUCGGCCUCAGUCUUCCUCCAGCAGCUCUCUGGUCAGGUUCCUUCUCAGUCUCCUGGAGUGGACCCAGCCCUCCUCAGGGCCUGGCCAGGGGAGCCAGGAGUUCAGGCUUCAGGAGAUGCCUCCAUAAGAAGCAGGGGCCACUGUGGGUGGCCACUGAGGUUCCCUGCAGGCUGGACAGCUUGGAGGACGGCCAUCUCCCAGAGGUCCCCGAUGGGAUAGAGCCCCGUUUGCCUACGGACGCCCUGCUGGUCAGUGUCCCCUCCCUGGUCCACGCCCUGCUCCUCAACCGGGCCUCAGAGUCGGCUCUGGGAGAAGCUCCGUCCAAGUCAGAGACUUGGGCUCUUUCUUUUGUCGAACUAAAAGGCUUCAGAUGGAAACAUGUUCUUCUGCUAGCUGUGAAUCCAACAUCUGAUCCUCUGACUAACAGAAGUGCUGGGUUUCCAGCGAGGCCCCAGUACACCUGCUUUGUGUCGGGCACUCUGCAUCGCAGUGAAGUGUGUUCGGGUGCCUGCGUGCCUCAGCCUGGGUCUGAAGGUCAUCCAGCAGUUAGGGCCACCUCCCUCCCCCCUGGGCCCACUGUGCGGUCAACUCAGUCACCCCCCCUUGCAGUCCCCCUCAGGCCCAGACCCAAGCCCCUAGAGCCAGCUCAUCCGGGGCAGUGGCGGGGCAUAGAGCACUUUUAAAUCAAAUCUGAAAUCACAGUUGCUUUUUAGGAAAUGUUUAUUGUGUUAUAAAACAUAUACAGAAAAGCAUACUAUA